GAUCCUGGCUCAGGAUGAACGCUGGCGGCGUGCUUAACACAUGCAAGUCGAACGAAGCACUUUAACCUGAUUCUUCGGAUGAAGGUUUUUGUGACUGAGUGGCGGACGGGUGAGUAACGCGUGGGUAACCUGCCUCAUACAGGGGGGAUAACAGCUAGAAAUGACUGCUAAUACCGCAUAAGACCACGGAGCCGCAUGGCUCAGCGGGAAAAACUCCGGUGGUAUGAGAUGGACCCGCGU
rnacentral:rRNA from 1 species